rnacentral:rRNA from 1 species
UACGUAGGGUCCGAGCGUUGUCCGGAAUUAUUGGGCGUAAAGGGCUCGUAGGCGGUCUGUUGCGUCAGGAGUGAAAACUCGGGGCUUAACCCCGAGCCUGCUUCUGAUACGGGCAGACUAGAGGUAUGCAGGGGAGAACGGAAUUCCUGGUGUAGCGGUGAAAUGCGCAGAUAUCAGGAGGAACACCGGUGGCGAAGGCGAGUCCCUGGACAACACCUGACACUGAGGCACGAAAGCUAGGGGAGCAAACAGG